CAGAGUUGUAAGACUCCCUAAACCAUUGUGAACCUACCUUCUACCGUUGCUUCGGCGGGCGGGCCCAGCGCCCCCCCGGCCCCCCGCGGGCGCCCGCCGGAGGAUACCCAAACUCUUGACAUUAGUGGCCUCUCUGAGUAUUCUUUACUGAAUAAGUCA
rnacentral:misc_RNA from 1 species